rnacentral:misc_RNA from 1 species
GCAGGGGAAGGAGGUCAAGGUCCAAAUCACCUGUGAGGCGGCAUAGAUGAUUCUAAGGGAGGACAUCUUGGAAUGAUAUUGCCCGGAAAUGCAAGACAGGCUGGUUGGAGGUUCUUGAAGAUCUAUUAUGGUGUGAAAUUAUCCAAUAGACCCUAAAAACUGGAGAUAUGGCCUAUAAGCAAAUUAUAGCAGUGGAAGUACGUGUACAUUCUCUGAUGUUGAAUCUGCACCAGGAGGUUUACUGGGUUCCGCAGAAUCAUGUUAAAGAUUGUGAAUAUGCUCGGGCCAGGUGCCUUUUUGUCUGUUUUACAAGUGUAACAUGUGCAGUUGAAACAGCAGGAAGCAGUAUUGUUAUCUGUUGUAUUGUUUGGCCUUUGCAAGGAAUGAAAAUCUGACAGGCUAGCAUUUGAGAGUUAAAUAGACAGCCGUA